GAGCUGCAGACAUUGGACAUCAAAG
rnacentral:piRNA from 1 species